rnacentral:rRNA from 1 species
UACGUAGGGGGCAAGCGUUGUCCGGAAUCAUUGGGCGUAAAGCGCGUGUAGGCGGCCUUGUAAGUCCGUUCUGAAAGACCGGGGCUCAACCCCAGAAAGGCGGUGGAAACUGAAGGACUAGAGUGCGGUAGGGGCAGAGGGAAUUCCCGGUGUAGCGGUGAAAUGCGUAGAGAUCGGGAAGAACACCGGUGGCGAAAGCGCUCUGCUGGGCCGCAACUGACACUCAGGGACGAAAGCUAGGGGAGCGAAUGGG